rnacentral:rRNA from 1 species
AUUGAACGCUGGCGGCAGGCCUAACACAUGCAAGUCGAACGGUAGCACAGAGAGCUUGCUCUCGGGUGACGAGUGGCGGACGGGUGAGUAACGUCUGGGAAACUGCCCGAUGGAGGGGGAUAACUACUGGAGACGGUAGCUAAUACCGCAUAACGUCGCAAGACCAAAGUGGGGGACCUUCGGGCCUCACACCAUCGGAUGUGCCCAGAGGGGAUUAGCUAGUAGGUGGGGUAAUGGCUCACCUAGGCGACGAUCCCUAGCUGGUCUGAGAGGAUGACCAGCCACACUGGAACUGAGACACGGUCCAGACUCCUACGGGAGGCAGCAGUGGGGAAUAUUGCACAAUGGGCGCAAGCCUGAUGCAGCCAUGCCGCGUGUAUGAAGAAGGCCUUCGGGUUGUAAAGUACUUUCAGCGGGGAGGAAGGCGGUGAAGUUAAUAACUUCACCGAUUGACGUUACCCGCAGAAGAAGCACCGGCUAACUCCGUGCCAGCAGCCGCCGCGG